rnacentral:rRNA from 1 species
UUCCGGUUGAUCCUGCCGGAGGUCACUGCUAUUGGGAUUCGACUAAGCCAUGCGAGUCGAGAGGGUUCGGCCCUCGGCAGACGGCUCAGUAACACGUGGAUAAUCUGCCCUUAGGUGGAGGAUAACCUCGGGAAACUGAGAAUAAUACUCCAUAGAUCUAGGAUGCUGGAAUGCAUCUAGGUUGAAAGUUCCGGCGCCUAAGGAUGAGUCUGCGGACUAUCAGGCUGUAGUCAGGGUAAAGACCUGACUAACCUACGACGGAUACGGGUUGUGAGAGCAAUAACCCGGAGACGAUAUCUGAGACACGAUAUCGGGCCCUACGGGGCGCAGCAGGCGCGAAACCUUCACGCUGUGCGAAAGCGCGAUGAGGGGAUCCCAAGUGCUUGCACGUAAGUGUAAGCUGUUUCUGUGUCUAAAAAGCAUAGAGAGUAAGGGCUGGGUAAGACGGGUGCCAGCCGCCGCGGUAAUACCUGCAGCUCAAGUGGUGACCGCUAUUAUUGGGCCUAAAACGUCCGUAGCCGGUUUAGUAAAUGCCUGGGUAAAUCGUGUAGCUUAACUAUACGAAUUCCGGGUAGACUGCUAAACUUGAGACCGGGAGAGGCUAGAGGUACUUCUGGGGUAGAGGUGAAAUUCUGUAAUCCUAGGGGGACCACCAGUGGCGAAGGCGUCUAGCUAGAACGGGUCUGACGGUGAGGGACGAAGCCCUGGGGCGCAAACCGGAUUAGAUACCCGGGUAGUCCAGGGUGUAAACGCUGCUCGCUUGAUGUCAGUUGGGCUCCGAGCCCAACUAGUGUCGGAGAGAAGUUGUUAAGCGAGCUGCCUGGGAAGUACGGCCGCAAGACUGAAACUUAAAGGAAUUGGCGGGGGAGCACAGCAACGGGUGGGAGCGUGCGGGUUUAAUUGGAUUCAACGCCCGGA